AGGAGUAUAGCUCAGUUGGUUAGAGCACACCCCUGAUAAGGGUGAGGUCGAUGGUUCGAGUCCAUUUACUCCUACCA
rnacentral:tRNA from 1 species